UACGGGGGGGGCAAGCGUUGUUCGGAAUUACUGGGCGUAAAGCGCACGUAGGCGGCUUUGUAAGUUAGAGGUGAAAGCCCGGGGCUCAACUCCGGAAUUGCCUUUAAGACUGCAUCGCUAGAAUCAUGGAGAGGUGAGUGGAAUUCCGAGUGUAGAGGUGAAAUUCGUAGAUAUUCGGAAGAACACCAGUGGCGAAGGCGACUCACUGGACAUGUAUUGACGCUGAGGUGCGAAAGCGUGGGGAGCAAACAGG
rnacentral:rRNA from 1 species